rnacentral:rRNA from 1 species
CUGGCUCAGGAUGAACGCUAGCGACAGGCUUAACACAUGCAAGUCGAGGGGCAGCACGGGAGUAGCAAUACAACUGGUGGCGACCGGCGCACGGGUGAGUAACGCGUAUGCAACCUACCUAUCAGAGGGGAAUAACCCGGCGAAAGUCGGACUAAUACCGCAUAAAACAGGGGCACCGCAUGGUGAUAUUGUUAAAGAAAUUCGCUGAUAGAUGGGCAUGCGUUCCAUUAGGUAGUUGGUGAGGUAACGGCUCACCAAGCCGACGAUGGAUAGGGGAACUGAGAGGUUGGUCCCCCACACUGGUACUGAGACACGGACCAGACUCCUACGGGAGGCAGCAGUGAGGAAUAUUGGUCAAUGGGCGAGAGCCUGAACCAGCCAAGUCGCGUGAAGGAAGAAGGAUCUAUGGUUCGUAAACUUCUUUUGCAGGGGAAUAAAGUGCGGGACGUGUCCUGUUUUGUAUGUACCCUGAGAAUAAGGAUCGGCUAACUCCGUGCCAGCAGCGGC